GAGGGAUCCUCCUCCCAUCAUCACUGGUGAGUCCUUGUGGUGUGCACUGGGUGAAUGGUGGAGGUGAUCUAAAGGCCGGGGGGCCUGGUGGCCCCCCGGUUAGCUAGGGUUCAUAUACAAUGCUUACUCUGAUUUCACAGUAUCAUUUCACUCAUGGGUGCUGGCUGAGUAUCCUUACUUAGGCUGAGCUCCUCUACGUUUAGCUGCUUCUGCUCACUUGUAAAACUAAAAAUUACAGGACUGAAAUGUGUGAAACAUCAUGAGAAGCAUUGACUGAGUGUGGAGGAAAUACCUGAGGAUCCCUAACAAGGAAAAUGGACUAAACCUCAAAUCCCAUUGGCGCUGUUUUAUGUUGGAGUGGCUGAAGUUCUGUCUUGCUUUGUUAACUAAGUUAAAGCUAGCUUUAUUCAGCACUGGGUGGAGUUUCACUGUGUUAAGCCAGGAGCAGAUCCUGGAUGUCUGCACACAAUCAGCCUGACAUCAUGCUGAGACUGCACCACAUCUGCCUCUACACCUGAAGGUCCUGCCUAGAAUUCCUGGACAUAUACACAGAUCAUCCAGAAAAUGCCAGGAGACAAGGUCAGAGAUUGUCUGCAUCCUUUCCCCAGAAGCCAGGAAGAUUCAAGUCUCAACAUCCGACAAGACAGAGUCCCCUGAAAGCAUUUGGGCACUCUCUGGGCUGUGGCUAGCACCCACAAGUGGGUAAUAAUAAUUUGUGAGUAAAUGUUUAAAUGCCUCUUUGUAAUUCUCCAUUGCCUUCUGCCAUAGAGCAGAAAGAGCUCCUUGAGCCCAUCCACUGGGCAAGCAGCAUACUGACUGCAAGCAGCAUUUGAAUCUUCUCUUCCAGUUCAAUUAUUGUUCAUAUAUUUUGCUGCUUUUUACUAGAUAUUAUCCAUAGAAUGUUGCCAUGACUGUGUAAGAACUGUAAUGUCAUUACAAUUAGUGGUUGGGGUGAUGAGAGUUCUGAACAACAAAAUUAAUAAACUAUAUUAAUGUUGGAAAA